AAAUAUCAUUAUUUACGUAGGACGUGUUGCGGCAUUGCACUGUUUCCGAUCGGACACCUUCUAAGGGAGCUCCGCCCCAUUGUGUGAUCGGCCUACACCUGGUCAGUAACACAAUUCACUCUGGAUUUCCACCCUGACUCAUCUCAUCUAUACGGUACGAGUCAUUUCAAGUUCAUUUCUCUGAGUGAGCUGAGUUUAUUCCUGCAGACGUCCAAACUGCUACAAAUAAAUCCAGGCGGCUGCCAGACAAAAAGAAGAGAUUGUGUUUCAUGAAGCAGAAGAGAGUGGACUCACUGUGCUGGUUGAGCAGCAUCCUGAUGGAUAUCCUGCUCAUGUAGAAGCGAUCGAGGAAAUACUGAACGUUCU